rnacentral:rRNA from 1 species
CCUACGGGAGGCAGCAGUGAGGAAUAUUGGUCAAUGGCCGGAAGGCUGAACCAGCCAUGCCGCGUGAAGGUCAGUGCCCUAUGGGCGUUAAACUUCUUUUGUGCGGGAGAAAUAAUGGUCACGUGUGGCCAGACGAGAGUACCGUACGAAUAAGCAUCAGCUAACUUCGUGCCAGCAGCCGCGGUAAUACGGGGGAUGCAAGCGUUUUCCGGAUUUAUUGGGUUUAAAGGGGGCGUAGGCUGUGAGGUAAGUCAGCGGUGAAAUGCCCCCGCUCAAAGGGGUGAAGUGCCAUUGAUACUGCCUGGCUGGAAUGCGGAUGACGUAGGAGGAAUGUGUGGUGUAGCGGUGAAAUGCAGAGAUAUCACACAGAACACCGAUUGCGAAGGCAUCUCACGAAUCCGCGAUUGACGCUGAUGCACGAAAGCGUGGGUAUCAAACAGGAUUAGAUACCCCGGUAGUC